UGAAAUACUGGUUCCUGUACAAUUACAGAAGUUAAGCAACAUUGAGCCUGGUCAGUACCCAGAUUGGUGACCGCUUGGAAAUAACAGGUGCUGUAAG